rnacentral:antisense_RNA from 1 species
ACCUUUACAGAAAAUAUCUUCCAUGGAAACAUCUAAAGGCAAAAAUCCUUCAAAUUCAAAUUUAUCCAAUCAUUUCUUCUGCUUACUACCAUCCUAAAUCAUUUUUCUUUAGUAAGAUCUAUUAGUGUGAAGCUAUUAAGCUAUUAAUGUAAGUAUCAUAUUAAUGUAUUAAGAUAUUAAGUGAGGAAGUAAAGUUGCAUUCAUAGGCCUUGAACUUUUCCACAUCUCGAUUUUUACCCAUCAUCUCUGCAUAUUUUCCUAAGGCAGCCUUCAAAUGGUGAUGUUUCCUGUCAUCCAGAGUUCAGAAGUGCCUUCUCUUCAACCUUUCUGUGGAAUUCUAAACCACGUGAUAAAGGAGCUGGUGAGCCAGAUUUCCUUCUGCACCAGAGCCUGUGGAAGCGCCACAGCGGAAGCACAGAGACUGGAAGAGCAGGCAAGAAGCUGGGAGCUUUGCACUGAACCAGGAAGACAUCACAGCUCUUAGGCGAAGACCCGGAAAGGUGUCAACAUGGCCACACUACUGCUCCCACCUUGUCCUUAUUUUCCUCAUCUCUCCCCACAGGCCACAGAUCAGCCCUGGGGUUCAGAGGGAUCCUGACGGCUACUCCUCAAGAUCCUCUCUGUUGUGAUUCAUCCCCCCCAGGCCCUACAGUUUCUCCUUCCUGACUCUUACAUUUCUUUGGAUGGCAUCACUAUUUACCUGUCUCCUCCCAUAGUUAGUUGCCAAGCACUGUGGAUUCUACCCCUCAGGGUCCAGACACCCAUUU